UGGAGAAAUAAAUGGAAGGGGAGAAUCGUCGAUUCUCAUCGCUCGAUUCGCGGUAAACGCACAGUUGAUGUAAACAAGGGCUGGUAAAUACGUCCUACGUAGCUAUUUAUGACGCUGUUGACGCCUAAACACAUGAAAUAAUAUCGCGUGGUGCCAGUCAGCGACUGCUCCCCGUAUAAGAAUUAUCGUGGCGUUCGCAAAUAGACGCGUGUUACGUAUAGAUGCCAUGGCGAAACGAGUUAGAAUAAAUUCGCUCGUGCAAAGUGAAUCAAAGGGAGUAUGGAUAAUAAACGAAAAGAUGGAGAGGGCUCGUUUUACGGAGUGCCAUCCGGACAAGAUGAAUUAGUUUCGGAGAACACAGUGGACGCGUACAGAGCUUAGUAUCGAGUUAGCGAAACGACGCAGGAUUAUAAUGCGAAUCUAAUGCGAAUGAUUCCAAGAUGUUCUCCUGGAUGUACGUGGAAGAAAGAGAAGAGACACGCAGGGAAUGGCGGUUGGCGAAACAUCCGAGUGUUUAUCACGCGACUGAAUGAUUACAACGAUGGAAGCGUCACGUUCGAAGAUUAGCAUUACGUGCGCCCUAACGAGGGAAGUUGAUUCAAGCAGGAAGAAUCCUACGUUGACUUUUAGUAUUAUAGAGUUGUUCUACUUUGCGAAUUUGAUUUAUAGAGAGACUAAAGCAAGAAUGGAGAAAAAGCGGUAAGAAAAAUGACACGGUCUCCGGUAUUUCACGCAUGUAGUUAUCUGCUACGACAUUUAAUCCCGGAUGUUUUCACGGAAUUUAUACAACAAAAAUAAAGUCGGAUUCUUUCGAAACGAAUCACGUGCAACGAUCUGCUGUAAAAUAUUUAACUUAUGUAGCACGUAGGUAGAGAUCUUCAGAAAUAUACUGCCAGUGAGCCUGUGACGUUUUUAAACAAUGUUCUAAGCUAUAACAAUGAUGCUAAAUGAGAGAACCGAGUCAAAGAAAAAAUAUGUAAAGAUUACAUCAAGAAAAUUAUAUCGUUUAUAGAUAUUUAGACGGGACGAUAAAAAUCUAGUCAGAACGAACAGAUCGUUAAAAUGCAAUUGUUUAUGAAUCUGUAUCCGUCCAUUUACACCAUUGCUAGAAAACUGAGGUAGAAACUUUCCAAAAUCAGAUACGAAAGAUCUUCUACCAUUCUUAAACAACGUACCACGUUACUAAAUACAUUGCGAUGCUGUUAGUAACUGAAAAAUAAA